UCAAGCAAGAAAGAGCACAAGGAGAAUGCCUUGGCACUAGGAGCCGAUGAAAGACGUGGUAAGCUGCGAAAAGCUUCGGGGAGGCGCAAACAGCCAUCGAUCCGGAGAUAUCUGAAUGGGGAAACCUACUUGAGCAAACCUCAAGUAUCCAUGCGUGAAUCCAUAGCGUAUGGAAGGGAACGCUGUGAACUGAAACAUCUAAGUAGCAGUAGGAGGAGAAAGAAAACUCGAUUUCCUAAGUAGCGGCGAGCGAACGGGAAAGAGGCCAAACCGAAGGACCUGGUUCUUCGGGGUUGUGGACUGCAUUUAGCAUUGCUGAGAGAUAGACGAAUGGUUUUGGGAAAGCCAGCCGUAGACGGUGAAAGCCCGGUAGACGAAAUCUUGAAGCAGCGAGCAGGAUCCAGAGUACCACGAGACACGAGAAACCUUGUGGGAAGCCGGGGGGACCACCCCCCAAGCCUAAAUACUCCCUAGUGACCGAUAGUGAAGCAGUACUGUGAAGGAAAGGUGAAAAGGACCCCGGGAGGGGAGUGAAAGAGAACCUGAAACCUUGUGCUUACAAACAGUCAAAGGCCUACGGGCUGAUGGCGUACUUUUUGUAGAACGGUCCGGCGAGUUACUAAUGCCAGCGAGGUUAAGUGGUCAGAAGCCACGGAGCCGAAGGGAAACCAAGUCUGAAUAGGGCGUAGAGUUGGUAUUAGUAGACCCGAAACCGGGUGACCUAUCCAUGUCCAGGUUGAAGGAACCGUAAAAGGUUUUGGAGGACCGAACACACAUGUGUUGAAAAACGUGGUGAUGAGGUGUGGAUAGCGGAGAAAUUCCAAUCGAACUCGGAGAUAGCUGGUUCUCCUCGAAAUAGCUUUAGGGCUAGCCUCGAGCUGGAGUCUAACGGAGGUAAAGCACUGAACUGACGCGGGGCCCAAAAAGGUUACCAACUCAUAUCAAACUAAGAAUGCCGUCAAGAUACCCUCGGGAGUCAGUCUGCGUGAGAUAAGUCGCGUGGACAAAAGGGAAAGAGCCCAGACCGACAGCUAAGGUCCCAAAGUACGUGUUAAGUGGAAAAGGAUGUGGGAUUUCAUAGACAACUAGGAUGUUGGCUUAGAAGCAGCCAUACAUUUAAAGAGUGCGUAAUAGCUCACUAGUCGAGAAAACCUGCGCCGAAAAUGUAACGGGGCUAAAACACGACACCGAAGCUACGGAUUUCCUACUAGGUAGGAAGUGGUAGAGGAGCAUCCUGCAAGGACGAAGCCAAAGUGAGAGCGAUGGUGGACGAAACAGGAGAGAGAAUGCCGGAAUGAGUAGCGAGAUACAUGUGAGAAACAUGUAGGCCGAAUAUCUAAGGAUUCCUGGGUAAAGCUAAUCUUCCCAGGGUUAGUCGGGGCCUAAGGCGAGGACGAGAGUCGUAGUCGAUGGAUAACAGGUUGAUAUUCCUGUACUACACAUAAUCAGAACUGUGGGGACGCAGGAGGAUAGGGAAACCGGGGAAUGGAAAGACCCGGUCAAGCGCAAAGCUGUGGGAGAUAGGCAAAUCCGUCUCCUGUAAGUGAAGCGUGAUGAGGACUGAAAAAAAGUAAGGAAGUUUCCGAAUCCACACUGCCGAGAAAAGCCGCUAUUGCGUUAUGUGUACCCGUACCGUAAACCGACACAGGUAGAUGAGGAGAAAAUCCACAGGCCGACGGGAGAAGUGUUGUUAAGGAACUCGGCAAAAUGACCCCGUAACUUCGGGAUAAGGGGAGCCUACGCGAGUAGGCCGCAGAGAAUAGUCUCAAGCGACUGUUUAGCAAAAACACAGGUCUAUGCUAAAUCGAAAGAUGAUGUAUAUGGGCUGACGCCUGCCCGGUGCUGGAAGGUUAAGGGGAAGUGUUAGAGCAAUCGAAGCACUGAACUUAAGCCCCAGUAAACGGCGGCCGUAACUAUAACGGUCCUAAGGUAGCGAAAUUCCUUGUCAGGUAAGUUCU
rnacentral:rRNA from 1 species